UACGGAGGGGGCUAGCGUUGUUCGGAAUUACUGGGCGUAAAGCGCGCGUAGGCGGCUUUGCAAGACAGAUGUGAAAUCCCCGGGCUCAACCUGGGAACUGCAUUUGUGACUGCAUGGCUAGAGUACGGUAGAGGGGGAUGGAAUUCCGCGUGUAGCAGUGAAAUGCGUAGAUAUGCGGAGGAACACCGAUGGCGAAGGCAAUCCCCUGGACCUGUACUGACGCUCAUGCA
rnacentral:rRNA from 1 species